rnacentral:rRNA from 1 species
CUUGGUCAUUUAGAGGAAGUAAAAGUCGUAACAAGGUUUCGUAGGUGACCUGCGGAAGGAUCAUUAUCGUACAAAAUGUGAGAGGGGUGCAUGCUUGGGCUGUUGCUGGCUCAAAGUAGCCGUGCACGCCUGGGUGUGUCCCCUCGCACAACAAUCCAUCUCACCCUUUUGUGCAUCACCGCGUGGGCUCCCUUCUCGGAGGGGGCUCGCGUUUUCACACAAACCCCCCUUUUAAAAGUGUAGAAUGACCUCAUGUAUGCGUUAACCCGCAAUCAAUACAACUUUCAACAACGGAUCUCUUGGCUCUCGCAUCGAUGAAGAACGCAGCGAAAUGCGAUACGUAAUGUGAAUUGCAGAAUUCAGUGAAUCAUCGAAUCUUUGAACGCACCUUGCGCCCCUUGGUAUUCCGAGGGGCACACCCGUUUGAGUGUCGUGAAAACCUCAACCUCCUUGGUUUCUUCUGGAGACCAAAGCAGGCUUGGACUUUGGAGGCCUUUGCUGGCACCUCUCUUUUUGAAGGCCAGCUCCUCUUAAACAAAUUAGCAGGGUCCUCUUUGCUGAUCCUCGACGUGUGAUAAGAUGUUUCCAUGUCUUGGUUUCUGGCUCUGUCACCUUUGGGACCUGCUUCUAACUGUCCGGACCUUGCGUCGAGACAACGUUCGAGCAUGUGCCUCCCUUCUUGGGAAGCUCCCUCGACCCCWCGAACCCUGACCUCAAAUCGGGUGAGACUACCCGCUGAACUUAAGCAUAUCAAUAAGCGGAGGA